UGGAGCGUAAAGUGGGUGGUAAAUUUCAUCUAAAGCUAAAUAUAGGCUUGAGACCGAUAGCAAACAAGUACCAUGAGGGAAAGAUGAAAAGGACUUUGAAAAGAGAGUUAAAAGUGCUUGAAAUCGCUGAAAGGGAAGCGAAUGGAACCAGUCUUCUGGCUGAGAUUGUUGCGUGCUACUGUGAUGCCUGGCUGCUUCAACGCAAGUGUGGCAGUUAGAGUUGAUCAGCUGUGCGUGAUGUUUCUCAGCUUGUUAGUCAACCUUUGUUCGUGCUUGGGGAUAACUGCGGGUUCCAUGUUCUUCUCUGCGGAGUUGAGCUCGUGCCUGUAAGGACUCAGGUGUGUACAAUUGGUGACAAAAUGGUUCUCUUCGACCCGUCUUGAAACACGGACCAAGGAGUCUAGCACAUGUGCAAGUUCACAGGUGGCAAGCCUGCUUGCGCAAUGAAGGUGACUGCUGGGAUAUUUGCACCAGCANCCGACCAAUCNAUNGAGAGAAGUUUGAGUAUGAGCAUAUG
rnacentral:rRNA from 1 species